rnacentral:rRNA from 1 species
CCUACGGGAGGCAGCAGUGGGGAAUUUUGGACAAUGGGCGAAAGCCUGAUCCAGCAAUGCCGCGUGAGUGAAGAAGGCCUUCGGGUUGUAAAGCUCUUUUGUCAGGGAAGAAACGGUGAGGGCUAAUAUCCCUUGCUAAUGACGGUACCUGAAGAAUAAGCACCGGCUAACUACGUGCCAGCAGCCGCGGUAAUACGUAGGGUGCAAGCGUUAAUCGGAAUUACUGGGCGUAAAGCGUGCGCAGGCGGUUUUGUAAGUCUGUCGUGAAAUCCCCGGGCUCAACCUGGGAAUUGCGAUGGAGACUGCAAGGCUAGAAUCUGGCAGAGGGGGGUAGAAUUCCACGUGUAGCAGUGAAAUGCGUAGAGAUGUGGAGGAACACCGAUGGCGAAGGCAGCCCCCUGGGUCAAGAUUGACGCUCAUGCACGAAAGCGUGGGGAGCAAACAGGAUUAGAUACCCUGGUAGUCCACGCCCUAAACGAUGCCUACUAGUUGUCGGGUUUUAAUUAACUUGGUAACGCAGCUAACGCGUGAAGUAGACCGCCUGGGGAGUACGGUCGCAAGAUUAAAAACUCAAAAUGAAGUAGUAGCGUGAGAGAGCGACGACGACACGAGGGAGGAGG